UAAUAUCUGCCUCAUGGGACUGUUAGGAAGCCGGAGAGAGUAUAUUUAUUUACAAGACCUGACAGAUAGGGACACUCAAUUAAGGUGUCAACACUGUGCUUGACUCUGGGGAAACAAAAUUCAGUGAGAGCGCCAGAGGUGAGGAAAGAUGCUGCAGCAGUGUUCUUCUGAUCUCUGGAGUUUCAAAAUAGUUGUUUCAGAUGGUUCCUGCCUGCUUAAUAGUUGUUCUGGUGGAAGGCAUGAGUCCUGGAGCUCCCUACUCUACCAUCUUCAUGCAGUACUCCAGC